UACAGAGGGUGCGAGCGUUGUCCGGAAUCACUGGGCGUAAAGAGCUCGUAGGUGGUUUGUCGCGUUGUUCGUGAAAACCGGGGGCUUAACCCUCGGCGUGCGGGCGAUACGGGCAGACUUGAGUACUGCAGGGGAGACUGGAAUUCCUGGUGUAGCGGUGGAAUGCGCAGAUAUCAGGAGGAACACCGGUGGCGAAGGCGGGUCUCUGGGCCGUAACUGACGCUGAGGAGCGAAAGCGUGGGGAGCGAACAGG
rnacentral:rRNA from 1 species